ACAAAGCCACCAGCACAGAUCAGCCAGUGCAGAUCCACUGAAGUCAGUUAUGUGGAGAUCUUACCUGCAAAUUUGGGUGUCUGAGAUAUUCUGCCAACGUUCAGUGUCAAGGAAGUAGAUGUUAAGUGCAAUCUGAAUACAGCACCUGGAUGGAGAAUGUUGCUUGUCUG